rnacentral:misc_RNA from 1 species
GAAAAAACAGGCGCAGUUCUUUUGGAACACAUUUACACAUAUGUAUAGGCUAUAUCCCUUGCAUUGGUUGGCAUGAAAGCCAAGACCAUUAGCACUGCUAAGAUACCUAUAGGAAGCAGAAGCAAAGAAAAAGGUGGUGGAGGUAAUGGCGGAAGUAUCAAAGGAAGGAUCAACAGAGAUGCUGUUAGACAUAUUAGCAGCAGCAGUGAUACCAAGCUGAAAUAGCUUGCAGGAAACAACCUCCUGCCACUGCCCUGGGACAAUGAUCUUUGAUAUUCCAUCCUCUUUUUCUCUACUCUAGGAAGAGGUGCAGUAGUUUGGGCUGUGAAAGUCAUUUUUCUUGAUCUUCCAUCCAUUAUGUUGCUAGAACAAUGAUCUUGCAGAUUGAUUAUACUUCUUGAAAGUCUUGUUUCUGAUUCUGGAUGUUCAAAAUUCAUUUAAUAGUUGUAUUAGUCACCAAAUCACUACAACCCAGAUGAGAUCAAUUUCUUCGCAAGUACAAAAUUCCACAAUGCCACAGAUCUCUGUAUCUGAUUUCUUGAAAUUGAUCAAUAGACAACCAUUGACGCUUAGCCAAAAGAUUCUCUCUGUUGGAUUCCAAUCACAACUAUUGAAGUUCAACCCAGAUUGUGAAAUGUGGUUUGCAGUUAAGCAGGAGCUAUCAAUUCUUGAAGAAAGAUUGCAAUUCCAGAUAUUUCUAGUCAGAUAACAAUGUGGACAAUUGGGGCUUCAAUUGCAACAAAUGUGAACCAGAUUCAAACCCAAAUUUACCAGAAACAUAGAUGAGAUUCGAAAUUCCACUAACAACAGCAAAGUAGAACUCCUGUGACGAUUCUCUAUAUUUAUUUCAAAAUCCUGUCAUAUCUCUAAGCCUCUUUCAAGAAAAUCCAGCUGCCUUCAAUUUCAGAACACAGAAAUUAACUUCGUCCCCAAUUGGCCAA